rnacentral:rRNA from 1 species
GACGAACGCUGGCGGCGUGCUUAACACAUGCAAGUCGAACGGAAAGGCCCUGCUUUUGUGGGGUGCUCGAGUGGCGAAAGGGUGAGUAACACGUGAGUAACCUGCCCUUGACUUUGGGAUAACUUCAGGAAACUCGGGCUAAUACCGGAUAGGAGCUCCUGCUGCAUGGUGUGGGUUGGAAAGAUUCGGCGGUUGGGGAUGGACUCGCGGCUUAUCAGCUUGUUGGUGAGGUAGUGGCUUACCAAGGCUUUGACGGGUAGCCGGCCUGAGAGGUUGACCGGCCACAUUGGGACUGAGAUACGGCCCAGACUCCUACGGGAGGCAGCAGUGGGGAAUAUUGCACAAUGGGCGGAAGCCUGAUGCAGCAACGCCGCGUGCGGGAUGACGGCCUUCGGGUUGUAAACCGCUUUCGCCUGUGACGAAGCGUGAGUGACGGUAAUGGGUAAAGAAGCACCGGCUAACUACGUG